ensembl:lncRNA
GUGUGUGUGUGUGUGUGUGUUCAGCCAUGUAUUAGUGUGUGUGUGUGUGUCCAUGUGUUAGUGUGUGUGUGUGUUCAGCCAUGUGUAAGUGUGUGUGUGUGUGUGUGUUCAGCCAUGUAUUAGUGUGUGUGUGUAUGUGUUCAGCCAUGUGUUAGUGUGUGUGCAUGUUCAGCCAUGUGUUAGUGUGUGUGUGUGUUCAGCCAUGUGUUAGUGUGUGUGUGUGUGUGUGUUCAGCCAUGUAUUAGUGUGUGUGUGUGUGUCCAUGUGUUAGUGUGUGUGUGUGUUCAGCCAUGUGUAAGUGUGUGUGUGUGUGUUCAGCCAUGUGUUAGUGUGUGUGUGUGUGUUCAGCCAUGUGUUAGUGUGUGUGUGUGUUCAGCCAUGUGUUAGUGUGUGUGCCGG